rnacentral:rRNA from 1 species
CAGAGGGUGCGAGCGUUGUUCGGAAUCACUGGGCGUAAAGCGCGCGCAGGCGGGCGUGUAAGUCAGAAGUGAAAUUCCGGGGCUCAACCCCGGAGCUGCUUCUGAUACUGCAGGUCUGGAGACCGGUAGAGGCUGGUGGAAUUCCCGGUGUAGCGGUGGAAUGCGUAGAGAUCGGGAAGAACACCCGUGGCGAAGGCGGCCAGCUGGGCCGGUUCUGACGCUGAGGCGCGAAAGCGUGGGGAGCAAACAGGAUUAGAUACCCUGGUAGUCCACGCUGUAAACGAUGGGCACUAGGUGCCGGGGGGAGCGACCCCUUCGGUGCCGCAGCUAACGCGUUAAGUGCCCCGCCCGGGGAGUACGGCCGCAAGGCUG